AACGAACGCUGGCGGCGUGCUUAACACAUGCAAGUCGAGCGGUAAGGCCCUUUCGGGGGUACACGAGCGGCGAACGGGUGAGUAACACGUGGGUGACCUGCCCUCAGCUCUGGGAUAAGCCUGGGAAACCGGGUCUAAUACCGGAUAUGACUCCAUGACGCAUGGUUGUGGGGUGGAAAGCCUUGUGCGGCUGAGGAUGGGCCCGCGGCCUAUCAGCUUGUUGGUGGGGUGAUGGCCUACCAAGGCGACGACGGGUAGCCGGCCUGAGAGGGCGACCGGCCACACUGGGACUGAGACACGGCCCAGACUCCUACGGGAGGGCAGCAGUGGGGAAUCUUGCGCAAUGGGCGAAAGCCUGACGCAGCGACGCCGCGUGAGGGAUGACGGCCU
rnacentral:rRNA from 1 species